rnacentral:rRNA from 1 species
UGGGGAAUAUUGGGCAAUGGGCGAAAGCCUGACCCAGCAACGCCGCGUGAGUGAUGAAGGCCUUCGGGUUGUAAAACUCUUUGGACAGGGACGAAGAAAGUGACGGUACCUGUAGAACAAGCCACGGCUAACUACGUGCCAGCAGCCGCGGUAAUACGUAGGUGGCGAGCGUUAUCCGGAUUUACUGGGCGUAAAGGGCGUGUAGGCGGCUUGAUAAGUGUGCUGUUUAAAUCCAAGGCUUAACCUUGGGGUUCAUUACAAACUGUUUAGCUUGAGUGCUGGAGAGGAUAGUGGAAUGCCUCGUGUAGCGGUAAAAUGCGUAGAUAUUAUGAGGAACACCGGUGGUGAAGGCGGCUAUCUGGACAGUAACUGACGCUGAGGCGCGAAAGCGUGGGGAGCAAACAGG